rnacentral:rRNA from 1 species
GAUGAACGCUGGCGGCGUGCCUAAUACAUGCAAGUCGAGCGAACAGACGAGGAGCUUGCUCCUCUGACGUUAGCGGCGGACGGGUGAGUAACACGUGGAUAACCUACCUAUAAGACUGGGAUAACUUCGGGAAACCGGAGCUAAUACCGGAUAAUAUAUUGAACCGCAUGGUUCAAUAGUGAAAGACGGUUUUGCUGUCACUUAUAGAUGGAUCCGCGCCGCAUUAGCUAGUUGGUAAGGUAACGGCUUACCAAGGCAACGAUGCGUAGCCGACCUGAGAGGGUGAUCGGCCACACUGGAACUGAGACACGGUCCAGACUCCUACGGGAGGCAGCAGUAGGGAAUCUUCCGCAAAGGUCGAAAGCCUGACGGAGCAACGCCGCGUGAGUGAUGAAGGUCUUCGGAUCGUAAAACUCUGUUAUUAGGGAAGAACAAAUGUGUAAGUAACUAUGCACGUCUUGACGGUACCUAAUCAGAAAGCCACGGCUAACUACGUG